rnacentral:snRNA from 1 species
AUCACUUCUCAGCCUUUUGGCUAAGAUCAAGUGUAGCAUAAGAUAAAAUGCACAAAUUUUAGGUAUUUAUUUUGAUAAAUUUUGACAACUAUAU